UACGUAGGGUGCGAGCGUUGUCCGGAAUUAUUGGGCGUAAAGGGCUCGUAGGCGGUUUGUCGCGUCGGGAGUGAAAACACCGGGCUUAACUCGGUGCUUGCUUUCGAUACGGGCAGACUAGAGGCAUGCAGGGGAGAACGGAAUUCCUGGUGUAGCGGUGAAAUGCGCAGAUAUCAGGAGGAACACCGGUGGCGAAGGCGGGUCUCUGGGCCGUAACUGACGCUGAGGAGCGAAAGCGUGGGGAGCGAACAGG
rnacentral:rRNA from 1 species